GUAGCGAAGUCAUUUGUUCUUUUAUUGAGAACUUGUAUGAGUGGAGUUAUGGAGGUUUUUUUAUAAACGGUUUUUUGGCUGAAUUUGAUUUAUCUACGAAAAGUUAGAUUUGUUUUCAAAGACGAGAAGACCCCGAAAUCUUUAUUUUAAAAAAAUGGGUUUUAAUUUUUGUUUGGGGGAAAAGUUAAUUUGUAUUAUUUUCUUUUUUAGUGUGAACUUUGUUAGGUUAAAUGGAUAGAUACUUCGGGGUUAACAGGAUAAUUUUCUUUUGAAGUUCUUAUUUUAGAGGGAGAUUGUUACCUCGAUGUUGGCUUUUGAA
rnacentral:rRNA from 1 species